CUCCGCUGCCCAAUAGCAUUUGGGCCCUCCCAGGAAUUGGAGGGUGCCAAAACCUCUCACGCCUCCCGAGUAAUAAGGCCCCUGGCCAGGGCCCUCACGCACCGUGCUGGGACCAUCACCAACCAUCCUGUUCCACCCAUCACAGCCAGGCACCUGCACGCUCAAAUUCAAGCUCCGGCAGAAACAUCUCCAGAAUCACCAUCUCCACCUCGUUUCCAGCAUUAGCAAAGACAGCCACCCCUGCUUGGGAUGCUCCUCCUGCCUUGAACUUGCUCAGCAGCAGAGAGGGCUUUGUUCAAACAGGACCACACCACUCGCCACUUGCUGCCAUCUGGGUGCCAAUGUCUGCACAAAGCAGCUCUGACAAGUUACGGUCGUGCUGGGCGAGCAGCUGUCUCGGGGUCUUGGCUGGAUGCAGAAGUGGCAGCAGACCAUCUCUGGAGCUUGACAGUGCCUGCAAGGUGUUACACGGAACACCACCACACCACGGCUCUGAGAGAUCCCUUCCUGCCGUGCAGGCUACAACUUAUCCACCCAUGCAUAUCAGACCUCAGCUUCCCAACUCUCACAGUGAACACACUCAAGUAUACCCACCACAGAAAAGGGAAUGCAUUCGUACGCCAUGAAAACACGAAAUCCCCUCCUCAGAGCCCACAAGUCACGCUUCUUUUCCAGCAACGACUGGCAGCAACUCCAGAAAAUCCUCCAUGCCAAAGCAGCUCCUGCAGAUGCACAACAGAGUCCUUCACAAGAAACACGAGCUUAUGCUGCAGCCUCUGGAGAAGCAAGCUGCCUUUGUGGUGCUUGCUCGGGAGGCCUCCUUCGGAUCAACUCUCAGCCACAGCAGGAGAGCUUUUCUUCUACAUAUACAUGCACCUCGUACCUUUAACCACCCCUGAACAUCGCACAGUGCAUAGCACGGAAAAAAAGGAAAUUCACAAGCAAUGCAAGGCAAAGAUACAAAAGGAAAGCCGAAGAGGAAAGCAAAUCCAGGAACAAGAACCAAAAGAGUUAAGACCAAAAAGCCAAGGAAGGCAAAGCACAAUCACCUGAACAGCCGAGAAACAAAGAGGAACACCAUGAAGGAGGGAGAAAAGAGUUCCAAGAAUGGGAAAGGGAAAAGUAUCCAUCACCACAUCUGAACAAAACCAAGGUAUUGCAAUACAGGAGCAGCAAUAAAGCAAGACUGACAAAAGAACGGCAAACAACAAGGAAAACAGAGCAAAGCAAAACAAAGACAUGCAAUACAAGAGUCCAGCACAUGAACUCAAGACAGCAUCAUGGCAAAGCAAGGAAGCCAAACACAGGAAAACAGGCCCACUGCCCCGCCACAGGCAUACACUGAUCUAGAUCACUCCGUGACAGCCAGCUAACACAAACGGGAAGGAAGUAUGAAAGCAGUCUUGUUGGACUUCACAGGCUUUCCUCCUCAUCAAAUCUUGUUCUGCUCAGGAGCAAAAAGAGGGAAGCAAUUCACCUGGAUGACAAAGGGGGGCAGCCUGGUUCCACCCCUCCCUCACCUCAUAUCAGGGCUGGCUGCCCCAAGGGAAGGAUCACUGCUUCAAAUUCUGUUCUUGUUUAGUACGGUGUGAGCCCUCUUCCUCACAAAGGGGUAAGCAGUUCCAUCUUCAUUUACUGGACUGAUUCCUUUCCGCUCCCUGGGUAAAGGAAAACUGUGCCUGUGAUAGCCUUGGUCUACAGUUGCCAUUCUGGGUUAACCAGUGGUACACUUCCGUUGGAGGCCUGGGUCAAAGGAGGUCCCUAAGGGACCAAAAGAAAUACAGUCCGUAAGUGCAUUGCAAUUGAAAAAAAUAUGGACUGGUUUGGCUGUAAGAUUAGCGUAUUUGAGGGAUUUUUGGUGGAUGUGGGCUAACAGGACAACUUCUGUUGGUGACUGGUUUCUGCGAAGGAGAAAAAUUACACUUGGUUUUAGGGAAUCAGCCCGGGAUUCAAGCGACUCUUACUGAGAAAAGGGAAAAGGGAAAGCUUCUGUGGGUAAGAACAUUAUUUGGUGAGCUGUUGUAAGAGCGAUGGCAAUCUCUCUUGUUGUAAUAAGAGAUGGAAAAAAGCAGGGGAGUUACCUGGUAGGAAAAAAGAGCUGAGAGCUUGAGACAGUCUCAGAAAAGGCGUGCCUUUGCUUAGGAUUGCUCUGUGUCUGAGUUUUCCUUGCUAUUUGUGCAUGAAGCCCUCAGAUGGGAAACCCAGCCUCCCCCUCCAAGUGAGGACAUUGCCCUAGCAGCCCCUGGGGCUUGGCCUGAAAAGAAGGAAAAAAAAAAAAACCCAACAAACAACCAAAGCAGUGCAAUGCAAAGCAACAGAGAAAGAAGCAUAAAAGAAAGAAAAGAUGUUAAAUAGCAAAAGGAAAAGCAAAGGAAAACCACACGACAUGGAAAGAACAAAGACAAAGACAACUCUCGGGAUGGAAUCAAAGAAUGCCCUCAGGCAUCUGUCCCCUCCCCUGAACCUUCCUCCGUCCCAAGAGUUUCUGCCCGGUGGGACCACGUGCAGGACAGCAGGCUUUGGCUUGAUGGGCUGCAAGGCCAAAAAAGGGCGGCUCUAGGCCCCCCAGAGGAUGUCACAGCUGACAUCACCCACGCUCCUGGAACCUUUGUGCUGUUACAAUCAGUUCCCAUGACGAUGACGGGCCGUCCACAAGGACAGCUGGCAGAUGUUUACAGGCACCUCAGCUGGGAGAUGCACUGCCCGCAGCCGCUCGCCGUGCCCUGGGGCUGAGAGCAGCCCUGGCAGAAGACAAGCUCGGCCUCAUCCCCUGCUGGAUUACGGUUAAGUGCUACUAUUUAGUCUUACUACUAACUGCGGACCGUUACCCUUUGGCAUCAGAUUGGCGGGUUACUGCAUUAGAUAAGGCUUCACGUGGAAAUGCUACCAAGUUCAGUCAGUGCAAAGGCUUCAGGAAAACCCCUAAGGAUUGGCUUAAAGGUUACUGUUAGAGGCUAGCGUUUAGGAUGAAGAGUUACCAUAGUAGGUUAGGAUGAAGGGCUUCCCUUCAGUGACAGGUGAACGGUUACCACAUCGGAUUAGAGUUAACCAUAACCAAAAUGGGAAUCCUCCAGGGCUACCCUUUGCUGUUAGGACUAAGGGUGGCCCUUACUUGAUGAGGGCUAACGCCAUCCCUGUUGCAUUUACAGAAAAGGCUUCAGGGCUACCCAUUAGGAGGGUUAAACAUUACCUGUGUGUAUGGCAAACAGACUGUAAGGCAAACAGGUAAAGGAGCAGAGAGAUGAGCGCGUUUCCAAAGGAGGAAUGACAUAAAAAGCUUACCCGUAUCCUGGGCGCGCAGAAGGGCUCCACUAAGGGUGACCUCCAGGUAGAGAUCCUUCCUCCUUGGGAGUCAGCCCUUACAUGGGGUCUAGCAGGGCUGCAGCCAGGGUCCACCCCUUCCGGUCACUCAGGUGAAACUGCCAUCACCUGUGCCCCUGCAGCUGACUCAGCACUCGCCUCAGGUGGUCAAACAGAGGGUCAGGCUGUGAUUAUACAGUUCCCAUACACCUGUGUGAUUUAGAGUUCAGACUUGUGGUUUAUACAUUUGGAUUAGUGUUAGGAGCUAAAAUCUCUAGUACAAGAGAAAGGAAUAGAAACGCUGCUAGGAAAAAAAUACAGUGCAAAGAAAGGAACAGCAAAGAAAAAAAAAGAGCACCAAACUGAAAAAAAGAACAAAAAACCCCACGCACAUCAAAGAAAGCCAAUAACAAUAAAUGAAACAACAACAAACACCACAUUCAAAAACAAGCAACCAACGAUAACAGAACAGAAUACACUCUCACGGAAAAGCAAAGAUGACAACAGAGUCUGGAAGAGGCAAAAACUCAGCAUCUAGGCCUGGGAAGAUGACAGAGAACAAUCC
ensembl:lncRNA